UACAGAGGUGGCAAGCGUUGUUCGGAAUUACUGGGCGUAAAGGGCGCGUAGGCGGUCUUGUAAGUCCUGUGUGAAAUCCCUCGGCUUAACUGAGGAACUGCACGGGAUACUGCGAGAUUUGAGAUCGGGAGAGGGAAGCGGAAUUCCGGGUGUAGCGGUGAAAUGCGUAGAUAUCCGGAGGAACACCGGUGGCGAAGGCGGCUUCCUGGACCGACACUGACGCUGAGGCGCGAAAGCUAGGGGAGCAAACGGG
rnacentral:rRNA from 1 species